AUUGAACGCUGGCGGCAUGCCUUACACAUGCAAGUCGAACGGCAGCACGGGAGCAAUCCUGGUGGCGAGUGGCGAACGGGUGAGUAAUAUAUCGGAACGUGCCCGGUCGUGGGGAUAACGUAGCGAAAGCUACGCUAAUACCGCAUACGAUCUACGGAUGAAAGCGGGGGAUCGCAAGACCUCGCGCGAUUGGAGCGGCCGAUAUCAGAUUAGGUAGUUGGUGAGGUAAAGGGCUCACCAAGCGACGAUCUGUAG
rnacentral:rRNA from 1 species